rnacentral:rRNA from 1 species
AAUCACUGGAAACGGUGACUUAAUACCGCAUGUCAUCACCGGAGGCAUCCUCUGGUAGAAAAAAGGAGUAAUUCGGUAUAGGAUGGGCCCGCAUCUGAUUAGCUAGUUGGUGAGAUAACAGCCCACCAAGGCGACGAUCAGUAGCCGACCUGAGAGGGUGAUCGGCCACAUUGGGACUGAGACACGGCCCAAACUCCUACGGGAGGCAGCAGUGGGGAAUAUUGCACAAUGGGGGAAACCCUGAUGCAGCAACGCCGCGUGAAGGAUGACGUAUUUCGGUAUGUAAACUUCUAUCAGCAAGGAAGAUGAUGACGGUACUUGACUAAGAAGCCCCGGCUAACUACGCG